rnacentral:misc_RNA from 1 species
AAACUUAGCAGUCGACUUCAUUUCCUGGUUUUAGGCCGGUGGAUCGAUGAGUGUUUGCCAAGAGGAAACCAGGGAUGUCAUCGACAAGGAAUCCUAGAGACCAACUUGUGUCUCCCCCACGUUAGGAGCUCCACACAUGACCAGCAUCAUUUGUCAGUGCCUACACAGAAUCUGGUGAUUGGAUUAUACACCUGACAGGACACCAUGUUUAGUCGCCUGGUGAAGUACACGAAGGGUGACAACUACCAGGACCUAGACGCGAACCAAGGGGAGAGAAUCGAUAUGGACAUCACUGACCCUGCGAUGAGGGAGUUCGCAGGCCUAACCCCUACAGGGAGUAGCAGUGGCGAGUUUUCCCAUGUUGGAGAUGGGGGUGUUCUAGACAUGCACCAGCGGAGGGGCACUGGUUCCACAAUAGAACCAUCAGAAGAAACCUACACUAUACAGCAAGCUAUAGACAACAUUGGAUUUGGGAAGUUCCAGAUCAAACUUUCCAUCCUCACAGGAUUUGCAUGGAUGGCAGAUGCCAUGGAGAUGAUGAUACUGGCCAUUUUGUCUCCCGCCCUACACUGUGAAUGGCAGCUAGAGAGCUGGCAGCAGGCUCUCAUCACCACGAUUGUAUUCUGUGGGAUGUUCUGUAGUUCAAGUUUCUGGGGCAGUGUGUGUGACAAAUACGGACGCAGAUCAGAGCUGAUUCUGUGCUCUGUGUUUACCUGUUACUUCGGUAUCCUCAGCGCAUUCUCACCCACCUUUAUAUGGAUGUUGAUCUUAAGAGGACUUGUUGGCUUCGGUAUAGGAGGUGCUCCACAGUCUGUAACCCUGUAUGCAGAGUUCCUGCCGUCCUCUUCCAGAGCGAGAUGUGUUGUGCUGGUCGAGAUAUUCUGGGCUAUUGGUGCUUGUUUUGAGGUGCUACUUGCGCUGGUGGUCAUGCCAACAUUGGGCUGGAAAUGGCUGCUCGGACUGUCUGCUAUGCCACUAUUGCUGUUUUCGCUGUGCUGCUUUUGGUUGCCAGAAAGUGCGAGGUAUGACAUGUGCAGAGGACAAGCUGAUAAAGCGAUAGCUACACUAGAGAGGAUCGCUAAGGAGAACGGGAAGCCAAUGCCGCUGGGCAAACUCGUAGAGCCGUCCACGAAGGCUACAAACAGAGGCAGUAUAAAAGAUCUUUUUCUCCCGGAGUUAAGAAAAACAACCUUACUUUUAUGGGUUAUUUGGUUUGUGUCAGCAUUCUCCUACUACGGUAUUGUACUGAUGACAACAGAACUGUUUCAAAUCUCGGACGGUUGUCACGGUUCAGAAACUGGGUCUGAAAUCAAAGCCAAAGCACCAUGCUUCCUCAAGUGUAAUGGACUCGAUACCGGGGACUACAUAGAUCUCACCUGGACCACCUUUGCCGAGUUUCCAGGUCUAUUUGUCACCGUGAUUGUUAUAGAGAAGUUUGGGAGAAAGUUUACGAUGGCAAUGGAGUUCUUUGUCUUCACCGUUUUUGUUCUAUUUUCCAAUAUAUGUACAUCAAGACCGGUAUUGACAUUCUUCCUGUUUGUAGCCAGAGCUUUUAUAUCUGGAGCUUUCCAGGCAGCUUAUGUAUACACACCUGAGGUAUAUCCCACCUCUAUGAGAGCUAUAGGACUUGGUUGCUGUAGUGCUAUGGCCAGAGUUGGGGCUAUCAUCACACCUUUUGUAGCACAGGUGUUGCUGAGGUCAUCAUCAUACACAGCCAUCUCAACGUACGGUGUGAUAGCCCUGGUGGCCACCGGCGUUUGUUUAUUGUUACCUAUAGAAACCAAGGGGCGGGAGAUGAAGGACACCACCCAUGAGGUUCACGACGCUCCUGCCAGAUGAGGGAUGUUGUGUGUAUAUAUAUAACAAUUCUACACAAAACAUCUGCCCUCCCUUCUCAUCAUACUGCCUUCAUGUCAGAGCUGUAGAUGUCUAGAUGUCCCGUGAAAGGUACAACCUUUUUUCUGGAUGUCACGUGACGUGUACAGCCUUUUGACAGGAUGUCCUGUGAAGUACACAGCCUUUGUACCUGUACAUUCAGUAUAGAAGGUCGGGAUGGCCGUAGUCCAAUGUUGAUGAUGGCAGUUCAGCUUAUACGACACAACAACUUCUCAAAUAAGAAUCUCACAUGAUUUUAUUUUUGUUCUGUGAUUAUUUGUGAAUAUUGCCUCAGAGAUUGAAUAGAAAACCGUUUAUGAAUGGCUUAUUAUAAUGUAUGUGUAUCUUAUGAUUGUGCUGUUAAUGAUUAGAAUGUACAAAUAGGAUGGCUUAGGACAGGUUUCUUUUCUACCAGGACAAAUCAUUAAAUCUGCUGAUACCAAUCUCUGUUCAGAAAUGUUGACAAAAUAACAGUCCUUCACCAUGUUUUGUUGAGUCUCAUGACUGAUUUCUUUUGUACAAGCAAAGAAAAUGCAACUUUGUGUAGAUAGAGGGUUCCUUUUGCUUCCAAACACAUUUUGUACAUCUUAAUCAAUGAUCAUGGAUUUUUAUUUUUUUGUGGAAAUAAGCAUUCCGCUAUAUUUUCUUUAAUUAUACCUUUCCAAGUAGGUGUCUAAACAAUUCAGGAUAACCUAUCAAGAUUCAAACGGAAUAAUUUCCAUUUGGAAUUAAAUCACAAACCUUACUUCUUCAAUCUUAACAUUUUGACAUGGUAUACAUAUCUAGAGCAUUCACAAUAUAAAGUGGGGACAGACUACGAUAUGGCAGGUCGUGUACAACUCUUCCUGAAAGCGUCAAUAUCUUUUAAUGAAAAUUCAACUUAAUCAUAAUACUUGUAGUUUAGUAUGACAAAGAAAAUUAUUAGAGGCAAUAUCCUAAGAGUUAAAAGGGGAGAUAGUCCCUUUUAUAUUUUGUUUAUUAGUAUGGUUAUUGUUUUUGUCACUGUUGACAGGAAGUACUGGAAAUAACAUGAAGUGUUUUAUUCACAAUUUUACAUGUAAAUCAAUAUGUAGUAUACAAUGUACAGGGUGUGUAGCGUCAUAGGAUGAUAGAGUGUGUAUGUUACUGUGCUAGAGUGUGUAGGUUACUGUGCUAGAGUGUGUAUGUUACUGUGCUAGAGUGUGUAGGUUACUGUGCUAGAGUGUGUAAGUUACUGUGCUAGAGUGUGUAGGUUACUGUGCUAGAGUGUGUAGGUUACUGUGCUAGAGUGUGUAGGUUACUGUGCUAGAGUGUGUAGGUUACUGUGCUAGAGUGUGUAUGUUACUGUGCUAGAGUGUGUAGGUUACUGUGCUAGAGUGUGUAUGUUACUGUGCUAGAGUGUGUAGGUUACUGUGCUAGAGUGUGUAUGUUACUGUGCUAGAGUGUGUAUGUUACUGUGCUAGAGUGUGUAUGUUACUGUGCUAGAGUGUGUAUGUUACUGUGCUAGAGUGAGUAUGUUACUGUGCUAGAGUGUGUAUGUUACUGUGCUAGAGUGUGUAUGUUACUGUGCUAGAGUGUGUAUGUUACUGUGCUAGAGUGAGUAUGUUACUGUGCUAGAGUGUGUAUGUUACUGUGCUACAGUGUGUAGGUUACUGUGCUAGAGUGAGUAUGUUACUGUGCUAGAGUGAGUAUGUUACUGUGCUAGAGUGUGUAUGUUACUGUGCUAGAGUGAGUAUGUUACUGUGCUAGAGUGUGUAUGUUACUGUGCUAGAGUGAGUAUGUUACUGUGCUAGAGUGUGUAUGUUACUGUGCUAGAGUGAGUAUGUUACUGUGCUAGAGUGUGUAUGUUACUGUGCUAGAGUGAGUAUGUUACUGUGCUAGAGUGUGUAUGUUACUGUGCUAGAGUGAGUAUGUUACUGUGCUAGAGUGAGUAUGUUACUGUGUGAGAGUGUGUAGGUUACUGUGCUAGAGUGUGUAUGUUACUGUGCUAGAGUGUGUAGGUUACUGUGCUAGAGUGUGUAUGUUACUGUGCUAGAGUGUGUAUGUUACUGUGCUCAUUAUGUGCUGUGAUUUCAUAGAUAGAAAUAUGGUCAACUUAUAUUAUAUGGUCUUUAUUUAUCAUACUGACAUGUUUUUCUCAUUUCAUUGGUGGAGGUAUCUCGAGAGUAAUUCAGUGUACCUCAUAUCUAAACUCCAUCACAAGUUUACAUAUUUGUUUUAUUUGCUGCAAUACAAUUCCAUAUACAAAAUUUAUAAUUGAACACAUUUAUAAGUUUAUAUGUGUAUUUCUCUUUUUCCCAUGAAAAAUCCUUAUUGGGUUUUAUUUAUGUUUCAAAUAUCUGGUAUAACUGUGGUAUUCUUUAUCGUUCAUAUUGUAUUGUUUGAAAAUAUCUUUUACAUGUAUAUGCCUUUGUUCUUUUUAUGAAUACAUGUCUACUUGUGAGAUUAAGAAUCUUCAAAAUAACCUCAUCUACUUCUUUGACCAAGAAUGUUCAUGGUAUUUGAAUUAUAUAUUUAGGUACUAUCUUUGGUGUGCCAUUACCGGUAUCAUUACAACAUGUUUUUGUCCUCUUGACAGAGAUUAUAACAGGGUUAGGGAGGAUUAAAACAAUUCUUGUACCAGUAUAUUGUUUGACAAUUAUUUGCUGAUAAAUUAUUUGUUAAAAAAAUCUUUAUACUGUGUGAAGUUACUGUGGACAAACAUAUCAGUGGCGAUAAUAUUUUAGCAAUUUCAUUCCAUUUAACAGUGCAACACUAUGAUAACUGUUAAAUAUAAAAUCAUAAAAUUGAUGCAUGGUAUAAAUAUUUAUCAAACUUAUUUAUAUAACUUCAAAAUUUUACUUGAACUGUGAAAAAUCUGGGUGCACCAAUAGAAAUUAUAUUUACAAUAAUUUGUUCCUGUCCUUGGACAUUUUAGUUGAACCGAGAAAAUCUGAGUGUAGCAUAGAAAUAUGUUUACAAUAUAUUGUUAUUGUCUAUGGUACCUUGUUGAUGUGUAGUUAUAUUUAAAUCUGUUGUAAAUUAAGUAAACCAUAACAUAAAUGGCUGUUGGUAAUAACAUGAAGAGAUGUUUUUAUUUCAAACAAAUUAUCAAUAUAUUAUUUUAUUGUACAAUAGAUCAUGUGUAUAUUUGUUUAAACAAUUAAUUUAUUGACCAUGUUGUAUAGAAUGUACCAUAUUUUGGAGUAGAAUCUCAAUAUAUGUAUAUGAAUAAAUAUUUGAAUCAUGAACUAAUACAUAAAUUGCAAUAUUAAUCUACAGACUACAUUAUUUUGUAGCUGUAUCUGAGAUAUUGAGAAAGCUUCAUCAGGUACUAUUUUAGGGAAUUAAGAUUUAAAAAUUCAAAAUAUGAGGUUUACCAUAAUAUCAAUUUUUAUAUUUUGUGAAUUAUCUUUGUUUCAGGGUCGUUGUUUUUGUCCGAGUUAUAUAACAGUGUUUAGGGUAUUACAUAUAUACAAAUCAAACAAGAGAUAAAUGUGCAAUGUUGUGUGCGAUAUCGGCGGCGAACGAAUUUGAUCUCAUUUGAAGCAGUCAAAAUAGAAAUGGCAAUUUUGUCUCUUGGACAAAAUAUUGUUUUGUUUCUUUUUUUGAAUCAUUACACGGCUGUUUGUACACGAGGUUGGGGUUGUAAUUUACCUUGUAUACUUGGUUGAUGGUGUAAAUUUCGAUGUACACUAGGUUUGUGGCAUUCAUUUUCAUCUUUUUUAGUAAAUUAAGUAUGUGAUAUGAGGGUUGGUUUGUUUCUAUUUAUGUAGACAUCAGUACAUGUACUGCUUUAUUUUGGCGAGAUAUCAUUUUUUGUGUUUACUCACAAAUUUAGAUACCACAUAAUUAUAUAACCAUGGCGAUCCCAUCGAGUCUGUCAAGUUUAUUGCAUACUCUAGUGUAUUACUAGUGAUUAAAACUUAUUUAACUCAUUCACCCCUGAAAUUUCAUAAUGAACCAUUUCACCCUUUGAAUUGGAAGAGUUCAAAUGUGUCUU